rnacentral:rRNA from 1 species
UUCUGGCUCAGGAUGAACGCUGGCGGCGUGCUUAACACAUGCAAGUCGAACGGAGUAUAGACGCUGCAGAGAUUUCGGUCGAAGCUUGUUUAUACUUAGUGGCGGACGGGUGAGUAACGCGUGGGUAACCUGCCGUAUGCAGGGGGACAACAGUUGGAAACGGCUGCUAAUACCGCAUAAGCGCACGGUUCUGCAUGGAACAGUGUGAAAAGAUUUAUCGGCAUACGAUGGACCCGCGUUUGAUUAGCUAGUUGGUGAGGUAACGGCCCACCAAGGCGACGAUCAAUAGCCGGCCUGAGAGGGCAAUCGGCCACAUUGGGACUGAGACACGGCCCAAACUCCUACGGGAGGCAGCAGUGGGGAAUAUUGCACAAUGGGGGAAACCCUGAUGCAGCCGACGCCGCGUGAGUGAAGAAGUAUUUCGGUAUGUAAAGCUCUAUCAGCAGGGAAGAUGAUGACGGUACCUGACUAAGAAGCCCCGGCUAACUACGUGCCAGCCGCGGC